rnacentral:rRNA from 1 species
GGAGGGGGCUAGCGUUGUUCGGAAUUACUGGGCGUAAAGGGCGCGUAGGCGGCUUGCUAAGUCGGUGGUGAAAUCCCGUGGCUCAACUACGGAACUGCCAUCGAUACUGGCGAGCUUGAAUCCGGGAUAGGUCGGCGGAAUUGCUGGUGUAGCGGUGAAAUGCGUAGAUAUCAGCAGGAACACCGAUGGCGAAGGCAGCUGGCUGGACCGGUAUUGACGCUGAGGCGCGAAAGCGUGGGUAGCAAACAGGAUUAGAUACCCUGGUAGUCCACGCCCUAAACGAUGGAUACUUGGUGUGACCGGCGCAGUGCCGGUUGUGCCGCAGCUAACGCAGUAAGUAUCCCGCCUGGGGAGUACGAUCGCAAGAUUG